rfam:Mustela putorius furo unplaced genomic scaffold scaffold00123, whole genome shotgun sequence.
AUCGCUUCUUGGCCUUUUGGCUAAGAUCAAGUGUAGUAUCUAUGACUUUAUUCCAGAAGAGUUACCUUAGAUUCCUAAGGUCUCAUUAAAUUCAUUUUCUUCUGAUUAAUGGUUUAGAUGUUAACUUCAAGAAUAAUGUAAGCAGAAAUGUUUUCACUAGAACUUCUAGGAAAAUUUUCUACAUUAU